ensembl:miRNA mdo-mir-16-1 mdo-mir-16-1
GUCAACAGUGCCUUAGCAGCACGUAAAUAUUGGCGUUAAGAUUUUAAAAGUAUCUCCAGUAUUAACUGUGCUGCUGAAGUAAGGUUGGCC